rnacentral:rRNA from 1 species
AUACUAAUAAACAUAAUUAACCUGAAUUAUUAAUAGAUAUUUUCUUUAAAUUUGAAGAAUUUGGCGGUGGUUUAGUCCUGUUAGAGGAACCUGUUUUUGAAUCGAUACACCACGCAGAAUCUUGCUCAUUCUAUUAAGUUUAUAUACCGUCAUUAACAGAUAAUUUUUAAAAAAUUAAUUAUUUAAGUUUUAAAAGAGUAAAAGAUAAAUUAGAUCAAGGUGUAGCCUAAUGAAAGAGUUAAAAUGGGUUACAAUAAAAUUUAUUUAUUAUGGAAUAAUUACGAAGGAAGAAUUUUAUGAAGGAGGAUUUAAUUGUAAUGUGAGUUUAACAAGCUGAAAAGAUAUUGGCUCUAAU